AAUUCGCUGCGUUAGGGAUAGAAGCGGCAUCCUUUUUUGUUUUUUUCAAAAAAGAUAUAGCGUAUAGCCCGACCCUUU
rnacentral:sRNA from 1 species